UUUAUCGUUGUGAUGCCCCUCAGGGUCUUCCUGCCGAUUACCGAUAUCAAGUUAUGGCUGAUAUCCCUGGAAAAAAUCACGAGUAUGAGAUGGGGGCAAAUUACUUCUUAAUAUUGACGUUAAUCGUGUUGUCGAAGAUGAAUUACGCAAAAUCAAAGUACGGCAAUUGCGAAAUUAGCAUAAUUAGGCUUAAUAAAGAGAGGCUGGAGCAGGAAGUAAGUUAGAAGUGAUUGAUUAAUAAGUGAAAUAAUGAGAGGUUUUUUGUAUUCCUUUGUACUUACAAUCGAAAUAAAUUAGGCGUAGUGGAAAACAGGUUGUCUGGAAUGUGUCGUAUAUAAUUUCCAUUAAGUCGUCUACAAAGAAACAAUUUAGCAAGAAUUUUCCUGUCAUUAUUCACCACUUACAAUCGUUCUAAAUUGACAAGAUCCUGAAAAGCGUCUCUUUCAAUUGUAUGUAUCUGGUUGUCAAACUACUUACAAAAUCCGAAGCUUCCCCAGAUCCUGGAAAUCCGACUCGAACAGCACCGUGAUGUUGUUUCCUUGUAAAUCUCUGAAACAAACGGAAAACUCAUCAUUAUUCCCGUCACAAUUAAAAUAAAAAUCAAAUUCUGAAGCCAUUUCGUUCAAUUAAUUCGGUUUUGACAGAAUAAUUGGAUUAAAUGGUCGUUGUUGGAGUGUAAAAUGGACUUUAUGGAUGGCUGCUGGAAGGGCAUUUCUUAUGAAAUGCAUCCAGUUGGUAUUCCUGACAUGGCUCCCCUUUAUUCAAUUAAAUCCCUCAAUCAAAUGCUUCGCCGUGUUGCUGUGUA